CAUGGCCUAUUGCUUUUGGAAAACCUAAAGCAGCAGGUUGCCCAACUCACCACCACCGUGAACCUGCUCAUGGCCAAGGUCAAUAACGGCCUCCAACCAGCAGCCUUUGAGUGGUCCGGGGAAUUUCAAUUCCCCCUGGAAUCAGAUCCAGAGCUGGACCGCUUUGAGGCCUGGCUGGCGGACCCUGCCAACGAUAGGCAGAAACAUGCCCUUGUGAAUACCCUGUCUGCUGUCGGGGGUGUGGAUUUGAAGAGGGUGACAUGGAACAUUCUGUCAUACCUGUUUUCCUGCCCCCUUUCCUGAACAAUUAAUUGGAAGGGUGUGAACAAGAAGAGGGCCUUCCACAGGAUGGCAUCACGGACCCUCCUCAGCCGUGCAGUGGGCAAAUGCGCACUGACAGCAACUGCAACAGAAGCUGAAAUAUGGAGGCAUGCUAUAAGGUGGUUUGCCCUUUCGGCGGACAGGAGAGGAGGGCGCCAGGAGAUACUGGCGCGUCAGCAGCAGGAGCAGCAACAGCAACAGCUGCCACAGCACCCAGCUAGUGAUUUUGUUUAAGUGCAUGUUUUUUUAUUCACGUUGUGUUUAUAGCCUGUGCGUUUUUUUAUCCAUUAAUUCUGUGUUUGUUGUUGAGUGUGUUUUGUGUUAAUUGUUGACUUUGUUCAUGACUUUGUUGUUCAUUUUUUAUAAUUAAAUCUAUGUAUUCGUGGUCAUUAAUUCUGUGUUUGUUAACUUUGUUCACGUUGUUUUAGUAUGCGUUUUAAUCAUUAAAACGAUUUAUUUCAGCUAUAGCCUAUAGGCCUACGCAUUGCUCCAACUGAAACUAGCCUUUAUCAAGUCAAGUCAAGCUUUUUAUUUAUAGCCAAGGCCUUGUAGUGAA